AGUGAACGCUGGCGGUAGGCCUAACACAUGCAAGUCGAACGGCAGCACAGUAAGAGCUUGCUCUUACGGGUGGCGAGUGGCGGACGGGUGAGGAAUACAUCGGAAUCUACUUUUUCGUGGGGGAUAACGUAGGGAAACUUACGCUAAUACCGCAUACGACCUACGGGUGAAAGCAGGGGAUCUUCGGACCUUGCGCGAUUGAAUGAGCCGAUGUCGGAUUAGCUAGUUGGCGGGGUAAAGGCCCACCAAGGCGACGAUCCGUAGCUGGUCUGAGAGGAUGAUCAGCCAAACUGGAACUGAGAAACGGUCAAGACUCCCAGGGAGGGCGGCAGGGGGGAAAAUGGGAAAAUGGGCGAAACCCGGACCAGCCAUACCGCGUGGGUGAAGAAGGCCUUCGGGUUGUAAAGCCCUUUUGUUGGGAAAGAAAAGCAGCAGGUUAAUACCCCGCUGUUCUGACGGUACCCAAAGAAUAAGCACCGGCUAACCUCGUG
rnacentral:rRNA from 1 species